GUGACGCCCCACGCUUUCCCUACCAUGCGACGCGUCAUGUCCGAGGAAAGAUGGCGGAAGGCGGAGCGGCUGAUCUGGAUACCCAGAG
rnacentral:miRNA from 1 species